AUUGAACGCUGGCGGCAGGCCUAACACAUGCAGGUCGAACGGUAGCACAGAGAGCUUGCUCUCGGGUGACGAGUGGCGGACGGGUGAGUAAUGUCUGGGAAACUGCCCGAGGGAGGGGGAUAACUACUGGAAACGGUAGCUAAUACCGCAUAAUGUCGCAAGACCAAAGAGGGGGACUUUCGGGCCUCUUGCCAUCGGAUGUGCCCAGAUGGGAUUAGCUAGUUGGUGAGGUAAUGGCUCACCAAGGCGACGAUCCCUAGCUGGUCUGAGAGGAUGACCAGCCACACUGGAACUGAGACACGGUCCAGACUCCUACGGGAGGCAGCAGUGGGGAAUAUUGCACAAUGGGCGCAAGCCUGAUGCAGCCAUGCCGCGCGUAUGAAGAAGGCCUUCGGGUUGUAAAGUACUUUCAGCGGGGAGGAAGGCAAUGCGGUUAAUAACCGUGUUGAUUGACGUUACCCGCAGAAGAAGCACCGGCUAACUCCGUG
rnacentral:rRNA from 1 species